rnacentral:rRNA from 1 species
GCGAACGGGUAGUAACGCGUAGAACUGCCUUCGACAGGGGGAUAACACUCCUAACGGGGUGCUAAUACCGCAUGAGACACGGAGUCGCAUGGCUCCGAGGUCAAAGGUGGCCUCUAUUUAUAAGCUACCGGUCGAAGAUGGUCUCGCGUCCCAUUAGCUAGUUGGCGGUGUAAAAGACCACCAAGGCGACGAUGGGUAGCUGGUCUGAGAGGAUGGUCAGCACACUGGGACUGAGAUACGGCCAGACUCCUACGGGAGGCAGCAGUCGAGAGGCUUCGGCAAUGGGGGAAACCCUGACCGAGCGACGCCGCGUGAGGGAUGAAGGCCCUUGGGUUGUAAACCUCUUUUGUUCGGGGAAGAAGUGCGAUCAGGUGAACAAUCUGGUCGUUUGACGGUACCGGACGAAUAAGCUCCGGCUAACUCCGUGCCAGCAGCCGCGGUAACACGGGGGGAGCAAGCGUGUCGGNAAUCACUGGGGGCGUUAAACGGGGCGGUUGUAAGGGCGGUCCAGGUACACGGUCGGGCAUUGUCGAAAUGGCCCCGGGUUACACCCGGGUGUGAACCUUGACUCCCCAAAACUUGGUUUCGGCUUGAUUAUUG